rnacentral:rRNA from 1 species
AGGAUGAACGCUAGCGGCAGGCUUAAUACAUGCAAGUCGAGGGGUAACAGGGAAGUUCGCUUCCGCUGACGACCGGCGCACGGGUGCGUAACGCGUAUGCAACCUACCUUUAACUGGGGAAUAGCCCCGAGAAAUCGGGAUUAAUACCUCAUAACAUUUAUCAUUCGCAUGUUUGAUAAAUUAAAGUUUCGACGGUUAAAGAUGGGCAUGCGUGACAUUAGUUAGUUGGUGGGGUAACGGCUCACCAAGACCACGAUGUCUAGGGGUUCUGAGAGGAUUUUCCCCCACACUGGUACUGAGACACGGACCAGACUCCUACGGGAGGCAGCAGUAAGGAAUAUUGGGCAAUGGACGAAAGUCUGACCCAGCCAUGCCGCGUGCAGGAUGACUGCCCUACGGGUUGUAAACUGCUUUUGUAUAGGAAGAAACCUUUGGACGUGUCCGAAGCUGACGGUACUAUACGAAUAAGCACCGGCUAACUCCGUGCCAGCAGCCGCGGUAAUACGGAGGGUGCAAGCGUAUCCGGAUUUAUUGGGUUUAAAGGGUGCGCAGGCUGAGCGAUAAGUCAGUGGUGAAAUCCUACAGCUUAACUGUAGAACUGCCAUUGAUACUGUCGGUCUUGGAGUACAGUGGAAGUGGGCGGAAUGUAUCAUGUAGCGGUGAAAUGCAUAGAUAUGAUACAGAACACCGAUAGCGUAAGCAGCUCACUAUACUGUAACUGACGCUCAGGCACGAAAGCGUGGGGACAAACAGGAUUAGAUACCCUGGUAGUCCACGCCGUAAACGAUGAUCACUCGUUGUUGGCAAUACACAGUCAGCGACUGAACGAAAGCAUUAAGUGAUCCACCUGGGAAGUACGAUCGCAAGGUUGAAACUCAAAGGAAUUGACGGGGGCCCGCACAAGCGGAGGAGCAUGUGGUUUAAUUCGAUGAUACGCGAGGAACCUUACCUGGGCUUAAAUGCAGGACGAUCUCCGCCGAAAGGCGGAUUCCCUUCGGGGCGGCUUGCAAGGUGCUGCAUGGUUGUCGUCAGCUCGUGCCGUGAGGUGUCGGGUUAAGUCCCAUAACGAGCGCAACCCCUAUCCUUAGUUGCCAUCAGGUAAUGCUGGGGACUCUAAGGAAACUGCCUACGCAAGUAGUGAGGAAGGUGGGGAUGACGUCAAAUCAGCACGGCCCUUAUGUCCAGGGCUACACACGUGCUACAAUGGCCGGUACAGAGGGUCGCUACCUGGUGACAGGAUGCUAAUCUCGAAAACCGGUCUCAGUUCGGAUCGAAGUCUGCAACUCGACUUCGUGAAGCUGGAUUCGCUAGUAAUCGCAUAUCAGCCAUGGUGCGGUGAAUACGUUCCCGGGCCUUGUACACACCGCCCGUCACACCAUGGGAGUUGGCUGCACCAGAAGUCGGUAGUUUAACCUUCGGGAGGACGCUGACCACGGUGUGGUUCGUAAGGGGGGUGAAGUCGUAACAAGGUA